CAGUGCAUGUGAUGAGUUUUGUUAUCCCUGUCUGAAAUCAUUCUGUGGAAAUCAAUGUGAACCUGAACCACUG
rnacentral:snoRNA from 1 species